AGAACGAACGCUGGCGGCAUGCCUAAUACAUGCAAGUCGAACGAACACUUCGGUGUUAGUGGCGCACGGGUGCGUAACGCGUGGGAAUCUGCCCUUGGGUUCGGAAUAACAGUUGGAAACGACUGCUAAUACCGGAUGACGACGAAGGUCCAAAGAUUUAUCGCCCAGGGAUGAGCCCGCGUAGGAUUAGCUAGUUGGUGAGGUAAAGGCUCACCAAGGCGACGAUCCUUAGCUGGUCUGAGAGGAUGAUCAGCCACACUGGGACUGAGACACGGCCCAGACUCCUACGGGAGGCAGCAGUAGGGAAUAUUGGACAAUGGGCGCAAGCCUGAUCCAGCAAUGCCGCGUGAGUGAUGAAGCCUUAGGUUGUAAAGCUCUUUUACCCGAGAUGAUAAUGACAGUAUCGGAGAAUAAGCCCCGGCUAACUCCGUGCCAGCGAGCCGC
rnacentral:rRNA from 1 species